CCUACGGGCGGCAGCAGUGGGGAAUAUUGGACAAUGGGGGCAACCCUAAUCCAGCCAUGCCGCGUGUGUGAAGAAGGCCCUCGGGUUGUAAAGCACUUUCAGUGAGGAAGAACGCCUGGUGGUUAAUACCCAUCAGGAAAGACAUCACUCACAGAAGAAGCACCGGCUCAACUCCGUGCCAGCAGCCGCGGUAAUACGGAGGGUGCGAGCGUUAAUCGGAAUUACUGGGCGUAAAGCGCGCGUAGGUGGCUUGAUAAGCCGGUUGUGAAAGCCCCGGGCUCAACCUGGGAACGGCAUCCGGAACUGUCAAGCUAGAGUGCAGGAGAGGAAGGUAGAAUUCCCGGUGUAGCGGUGAAAUGCGUAGAGAUCGGGAGGAAUACCAGUGGCGAAGGCGGCCUUCUGGACUGACACUGACACUGAGGUGCGAAAGCGUGGGUAGCAAACAGGAUUAGAUACCCCUGUAGUC
rnacentral:rRNA from 1 species